UACGAAGGGGGCUAGCGUUGCUCGGAAUCACUGGGCGUAAAGCGCACGUAGGCGGCUUACUAAGUCAGGGGUGAAAUCCUGGAGCUCAACUCCAGAACUGCCUUUGAUACUGGUAAGCUCGAGUCCGGGAGAGGUGAGUGGAACUGCGAGUGUAGAGGUGAAAUUCGUAGAUAUUCGCAAGAACACCAGUGGCGAAGGCGGCGCACUGGCCCGGUACUGACGCUGAGGUGCGAAAGCGUGGGGAGCAAACAGG
rnacentral:rRNA from 1 species